rnacentral:rRNA from 1 species
CGCUGAACUUAAGCAUAUCAAUAAGCGGAGGAAAAGAAACUAACAAGGAUUCCCCUAGUAACUGCGAGUGAAGCGGGAAAAGCUCAAAUUUAAAAUCUGGCGGUCUUUGGCCGUCCGAGUUGUAGUCUGGAGAAGUGCUUUCCGUGCUGGACCGUGUACAAGUCUCUUGGAACAGAGCGUCAUAGAGGGUGAGAAUCCCGUCUUUGACACGGACUACCAGUGCUUUGUGAUGCGCUCUCGAAGAGUCGAGUUGUUUGGGAAUGCAGCUCAAAAUGGGUGGUAAAUUCCAUCUAAAGCUAAAUAUUGGCGAGAGACCGAUAGCGAACAAGUACCGUGAGGGAAAGAUGAAAAGCACUUUGGAAAGAGAGUUAAACAGUACGUGAAAUUGCUGAAAGGGAAACACUUGAAGUCAGUCGCGUUGGCCGGAACUCAGCCUUGCUUUUUUGCUUGGUGCACUUUCUGGUCGACGGGCCAGCAUCAAUUUUGAUCGUCGGAUAAAGGCUGGGGGAAUGUGGCAUCUUCGGAUGUGUUAUAGCCCUCGGUCACAUACGAUGGUUGGGAUUGAGGAUCUCAGCACACCUUUACGGUCGGGGUUCGCCCACGCUUGUGCUUAGGAUGCUGGCGUAAUGGCUUUAAAUGACCCGUCUUGAAACACGGACCAAGGAGUCUAACAUGCCUGCGCAGUGUUUGGGUGGAAAACCCGAGCGCGCAAUGAAAGUGAAAGUUGAGACCCCUGUCGUGGGGGGCAUCGACGCCCGGACCAGACCUUCUGUGACGGCUCCGCGGUAGAGCAUGUAUGUUGGGACCCGAAAGAUGGUGAACUAUGCCUGAAUAGGGUGAAGCCAGAGGAAACUCUGGUGGAGGCUCGUAGCGAUUCUGACGUGCAAAUCGAUCGUCAAAUUUGGGUAUAGGGGCGAAAGACUAAUCGAACCAUCUAGUAGCUGGUUCCU